UACGUAGGGGGCAAGCGUUGUCCGGAUUUAUUGGGCGUAAAGAGCUCGUAGGUGGUUCGGUAAGUCGGAUGUGAAAUCUCCAGGCUCAACCUGGAGGGGUCAUUCGAUACUGCCGUGACUAGAGUUCGGUAGGGGAGUGUGGAAUUCCUGGUGUAGCGGUGAAAUGCGCAGAUAUCAGGAGGAACACCAGCAGCGAAGGCGGCGCUCUGGGCUGGAACUGACGGCUGAGGAGCGAAAGCGUUGGGUAGCAAACAGG
rnacentral:rRNA from 1 species